rnacentral:rRNA from 1 species
CAGCAGCCGCGGGAAUACGGAGGGUGCAAGCGUUAAUCGGAAUUACUGGGCGUAAAGCGCACGCAGGCGGUCUGACAAGUCAGAUGUGAAAUCCCCGGGCUUAACCUGGGAACUGCAUUUGAAACUGUCAGGCUGGAGUCUUGUAGAGGGGGGUGGAAUUCCAGGUGUAGAGGUGAAAUGCGUAGAGAUCUGGAGGAAUACCGGUGGCGAAGGCGGCCCCCUGGACAAAGACUGACGCUCAGGUGCGAAAGCGUGGGGAGCAAACAGGAUUAGAUACCCGGGUAGUCCCUGUCUCUUAUAC